AUACUUACCUGGACGGGGUCGACGGGCGAUCAAGAAGGCCCGUGGCUGGGUCAAUGGCUCACAUUGCACUUGGUGGGUGCGUUGGCCCACCAUCUCCCCAAGUGGGAGAGUGGACGUCAUAAUUUGUGCUAGAGGGGGUACGCGUUCGCGCGGCCCCUGC
rnacentral:snRNA from 12 species